GACUACAGGGGUAUCUAAUCCCUUUCGCUCCCCUAGCUUUCGUCCCUGAGUGUCAGUUGCGGUCCAGUAGAGCGCUUUCGCCACCGAUGUUCUUCCCAAUCUCUACGCAUUUCACCGCUACACUGGGAAUUCCCUCUACCCCUACCGCACUCUAGCUUUUCAGUUUCCACGGCUCCUCCGGGGUUAAGCCCCGCUCUUUCACCGCAGACUUGAAAGGCCACCUGCGGACGCUUUACGCCCAAUAAUUCCGGAUAACGCUUGCCUCCUCCGUAUUACCGCGGCUGCUGGCACGGAGUUGGCCGAGGCUUUUUCCUUGGGUACCGUCAGUUUUCUUCCCCAAGAAAAGAGGUUUACGACCCAAGGGCCUUCUUCCCUCACGCGGUAUAGCUCCGUCAGGCUUGCGCCCAUUGCGGAAGAUUCCCCACUGCUGCCUCCCGUAGGAGUCUGGGCCGUGUCUCAGUCCCAGUGUGGCUGACCAUCCUCUCAGACCAGCUACUGAUCGUUGCCUUGGUAGGCUCUUACCCCACCAACUAGCUAAUCAGCCGCGAGCUCCUCUUCAGGCGUUAACGCUUUCACCCGUAGGCUCAUCGGGGAUUAGCCGCCGUUUCCAGCGGUUAUCUCCGUCCUGAAGGUAGAUUCUCACGCGUUACUCACCCGUCCG
rnacentral:rRNA from 1 species